AUUGAACGCUGGCGGCAGGCCUAACACAUGCAAGUCGAGCGAGCGGCGGACGGGUGAGUAAUGCCUGGGAAUUGCCCAGUCGAGGGGGAUAACCGUUGGAAACGACUGCUAAUACCGCCUCCUAUUGUAUUGACCAGGUGGUAUUAGCUAGUUGGUGGGGUAAUAGAUCACCAAGGCGACGAUCCCUAGGUGGGCGGAGAGGAUGAUCAGCCACACUGGAACUGAGACACGGUCCAGACUCCUACGUGAGGCAGAAGUGGGGAAUAUUGCACAAUGGGGGAAACCCUGAUGCAGCCAUGCCGCGUGUGUGAAGAAGGCCUUCGGGUUGUAAAGCACUUUCAGCGAGGAGGCGUUACUCGCAGAAGAAGCACCGGCUAACUCCGUGCCAGCAGCCGCGGUAAUAC
rnacentral:rRNA from 1 species